rnacentral:misc_RNA from 1 species
UUAAGUAGUAAAACCAGACAAAACAUUACCACAAGGUAUUAUCAAACAAUAACCCAACAGAUCACCAGCUAAAUUUUUAAUUCAAGAUUCACGGGACUUCACAAUAAAGUUCUGGCGACUGAUUGGAUUCAUCACAACUGGUGGCCCUGCAGUACGAGGCCAUGCCUGGAAUUUCUUGUCAGUUUCUUCCCACCAUUCAUUGCUUGCAACAGUUUUAGGGG